UGAGCCACCACGCCAGGCCCCGAUUUUCUGUUUUCUUAACUGCCCAGUGGAGAUAAUAGAGCUGCCUCACAAAGCUGUUGCAAGGAUCAAGUGGCAUCUUGUAGGUCAAGCCUCUAGCAAGGGUCUGGUAUGCAGUAGGCUCUUGGCCCAAGUUAGUUCCCCUUCCCUGACUGAACCCUUUUCUGCAUCCAACAUGGAAGACAAGCUCUGGGAAGUGGCUGGGGAAGGUGAUUUAUUAAUGAAUGUCACACAGGUGUCAGGACUCUAAGGUGGCUCCUUCUGAAGGUCACCUCUAAAGGCAACUCUAAGAGGUAGGGAUCAUUUCAAGUAAAAUAAGGAUCUGCUUUUAAGAAUACAGCCCCUAACACAGCCUAGGGCGCUGAUAGAGAUCAGACCUCGCUGGAGGACCUCUCCCUAAAUGAUCCCUUAACCCCAGACACUGCCAUCCAUGCCUUAGUCUCUGCAGAGGAGGAGGAAGAGAAUCCUUCUCAAGAAGAGGAGGGUGUCUGGAUUUUACACAGGGAGUGUCUAUUCUCUUCGCAGAGAAUAGAACCAAAAAAUAGACAUCAGACAGACUGAGGUUGGGCAGCAGAGUGGGAUUUCUAUCCUGGAAAGGCUGCAUGUCUUGGGGAGGCAGCAUGUCUUGGAGUGAAAGGGUGCCCCACUGGAGGCCCCCACCCAGGAAGUGGCCUGUCCAUCUCCCUGUCUUGGUUCAUGGGGAGAGGUCUGGAAAUCCUUUGGGGGUAGUGGCCAGAUUGUAUCCAUAGUCCCAGUUAGACCCUCAGCAAUGCCAACAGGCUCUUAGCUGCGGGUCACUGUGCUCCACUGCCUCUAGGUCACCCUGCCCCACCUUCAGGGCUAUAGUUCUUUCUUCUGGAAACUACACAGGACAUGAGAAUCCCAGACUGGGCUGCGCUUCCUGGAAGAGGAUGUAUGUGUGAGCCCAGCAGCCACUGUGAUGAGGCUCCAGGUAGUGAUAUUGGCAAAAGAGGGGGGAGUUAAGGCAGCAUGGUGACAGCAGUGGUGACAAGGCCUCCGGUAGAUGUAGCCAUGAUGAGUGAUGCUCGGUAGGGUAGGCUGUGGCGCCUUUAUCCAGAGUCUAAACGCUUGCUCUCAGUUUCAGCUCCAUAUAUUACAAGCUGUGUGGCCUGGGGACAGUAGCUUGCUCUUUCUGACCUCGGUUUCUUCAUCAGUAAAAUGAAGACGCUAAUAACAACAGUCCUGUCUUCCUCAAUGUCUCCAGCCAGCAGGUGACUUUAACAUGCCAAGGGGCAAGAGUGAAUUCAGGUGGAGGUACUUUGCUAAAAGCAGCCCAGAUGAAAUGACUGAGCAGAACUGGCUGUGUUAUCCCCAGAAUGAUUUCUUGCUUCCCCAGGAGACUCCUGUUGCUAUGACGAGUUUUCCUGGUUCUCAGUUCCUGGAUUCUGGGGUAGCUGGGAUCUUCUGGCUGUGGCCUCACUUAGCAUCUUACAGUGAUGUCCUGGCAUCCUGCCCAGGCCCCACUCACCAGUUCUGGUGCUGACCCUGCAGGUCCCAGCUCCCUCCCAGCCAGCCUAGAGACAGGGCCAGGCUCCAUGGAAGGAAGAACAAGAGACUUGCCUGAAAGCCAAAUGCUAUGCCCAGCAGAACCACAGAGGUAGGCACUAUCUCCAUGGCUCCAUUUGGUGGCCAAGGGGUUGGAUCUGUGCAGUCUCGCCCAAAGGACACUUCUCAGGGGUCAGGAGAGUUUCAGCUCGGAACUUACACGUGAUUCUAGGCUGAGGGGGAGAGAAAAGGCAGGGCGGGGGAGGGCAGAUUAGGCAAAGGAAUGUGUCCCCUAGCUCAUAGUGGAAGUGGGCUCUAGAGUGCCUUGCCCAUACCCUCUUUAUGCUCUAGAGAGGUGGGCAAACGACAAAGUAUGAGAUUACCCAGAAGAACCAGCCUCCAGAUUGACACUGGAGAUGAAGGCCACUCAGUUCCCGCCAUUGCAAAAAGAAUAGAAGGAGUAGGAUUGGCCAGCGCUUGCAAACAAACAGGAGGGGGCAGUGUUGACGCAAUGACCUCCACCUGGGGGCGGUCAGCAAGGGAACUGUCCUUUCCUGGGCAUCCAGGAGAUGCACCUGCCCGAUUUCACUCAUCCUCACGACCACCUUGUGAGAUAGGCACUAUCUCCAUGGCUCCAUCUGGCAAACGAAAAAGCUGACGGCCUGAGAGGGUUACACUGCUAGGAAGAGGUUGACCUGGGGUCGAAACCCAGGACUGCCUGUCUGAAUGCUAAAUGGGUGCUUUGCGUUCUUUGCCUGCCUUCACAGGACUCCAGACCAUCCCUCCUGCACAUCCGCCUCUCCCAGGCCUGCCUCCAUGUCCCAGCCCCCUCCAACAGUUCCAUCUCCCAAGAGCUCCUUGCAUCUCCUCUCUCACUCCUCACUCUUGCUUCCUCUUUGGAAUCCAGCCACAGGCUUUUUUCUUCCAUCUGAGGGAGAGAAAAUGGUCUUCGUUCCCCACCCCCAGGUCUUUCCAUCCUCUCAUCCAUCCAAACCUAAGCAUCUCUCUCUCCUCCCCUCCCCCUCUUGUUUUUUUCUUUCUGUUUAUCCAUCACUAGAAUCCAUCCCCCUUCCCUCUUGCCUGUAGGUUCUGUGGCUAUAAUAAAAUCAUAACUUUUAUUAAAUUUAAGAUUACUUUUUAAUGGAAUCAAUUUCUUGUGUGGUGCUUCUCUGCCUGCCCGCGGGCUCUGCCGGCUCUGUGCUCAGCAUCCCCACCCGCACAAUUGUCUCUGCCGCUGGCGUUUCUGGCUAAGCUGCCUCUGAAGGAGGGGCAGGUCUGCCAUCCCCAAACACACACAGAGAAACACACACACGCACACACCCUCACACACACACCAGGAUGCACCUUCCUGCAAGGCCCAGACACACAGCCACCAAGCCCCAGGCGUCCACGCUGAGCAGCGGGGGAGGGAGAGGGGCAGGGGCAGGAGGAGAGAGCUGCAGAGAGAACGAUUGACAGUGCAAAACAAACACGAGCCGAGCAGACAUUUCUCAGCCUGUUAAUUUCCUACAGUUCUGUUUUCCAGCCUCAGAAACACGCUGGUUUCUGCCAGUCCACCCCCUUCCCUCUGACUGCAUUGUGCAGCUGGUGAGCAGGGAGAAGUUGCAGGGAGGAGGGGGUUCCAGAAGAGCAGCGAAGAGACUCAGGUUUUCACAUGAUUUAUCAAAGUACAGGCAAGAUGCAGAGAUGCUUCCGAAGCUGUGACCCCAAAAAGAAGCCCAACUGGGAGAUUUGCAGGCUGGACCAGUCUAACUCUACAGGUCUGGGCUUCAGGACGAAGGGAACCUGGGGGUGCUGCAGGGAAUGCUUUGGAGGUAGGAGAGGAAAUGGAAAGCAGGGUUGGAGGAUCACUUUGAUGGAGGGAACAGGGGCUGGGAAGAGGUAUUGUGGGAGUUCUCAAAAUGAGCUCUUUGGGGGGCCUAUAGAUGGGGGUUUGCAGGCUCAGCAAAGACUUGGCCGCCUCCUUAAGCUGUUGGGAUAGCUCUGGGAUCUGCUUUUCUCGGAGGCUCACUGGACAGUCUUAGGUAGACAGGAGAUCAUGGGUGGCAGGUGGAUCUGAGGCCUGAGGAUGGCCCCUCUUGGCCCACCACACUGUCCUCAGUGUGGCAAACUGAGGACAGUUAGUAACUGAGUGUCAGGCAGGUGACUUCACGUUCAUCCAGGUAGAUGGUGCAAAGGUCAGUGAAUAAGAGCAUAGCCUUUGGAAUCAGAGAGGUCCACAAUCUAGACUCUGAUGCUUUCGAACUGCAUGACCUUGAAUAAAUGACCUGACUUCUCUGAGCCUAUUUUCUACUCUGAAAUGAGGAUGCAGUAAAAUGAUGCAUGUGGAACAUCUAGCGCAAAGCCUGACAGAGCAAGAGUUCAAGUGGAUUGCUAAUAUUUGUAUUAUAUCUUCUAAGCACCAACCAAAUGCACACACAUGGCCCAUGAUCCCCUGUGCCUAGGUUGAUUGGGACCUAAGCCAACCAAGUAUUAGCCCAGGGGGCAGACACCACAGGCAGGCUUAGAAUUUCAUCUAAGAGGCAGGCUUCCACUCUUAGAUGAAAUUCAGGCUGGGACCAGAGACCAUGAUGUUGAGUGUUCCCAGGACUGGAAUUCAGGACCUGGCAGGGCUCUUUUCCCUCCUUCAGGUGGAAGAGUGGCUGAGCCUUGUCAGGAAAAUAGGUGAGGGACUGAUGAAGGCCCCUGGGUACUGAAGGCCAAACUCCUUCCUCACCCCUGACUUUCAGGGAGCAAUGAACCUGAAGCUGGGUUUCCUCUAAGGCAGAAUAAAGGGAAAACAUCCUGUGAUCAAUUCCUCCCCUGCAGCCUCUGAUUUCCUCCUGUUGGUGUGGGGACUUUAGAGGGCUCUGACAUCCUUAGACAAGGCCAAGAGAAGGAAGGGUCUAUAAAGAUUUAAUUAGGCACAGGGCAUGAGUGCCCUUUCUAUCCCUCCUGUCCUUCAACCCUAGAGGGUAGGAAAAAACUCAAGAAUGCAAACAAGGGGAAGAACUGGAAAAGGCUGGUUCUGGUAGUGAAACUCCUCAUGAACCCAAACUUGGUAGCAGAUGCCAACAUGGCUACAGUCACAGUACAGCCAUCAUCGGUGGCUCGGCCCCAUCAGGGCUGCACUUUGGAGCCCAGCAAUCUCCUUGGUGAGAGGGACAGCUGGAACCUCCUCUCCUAGGCAAGAACUCACCUCUCAUCUAUUACCCCUAAAAGGAGGCUGUUUCAACCAGCUCAGCAACCCCCUGGGUUUGACCCCUAACACAACAAGCAUGCCUGCUGAACCUACACCUGGACCUAUAGACUUGUAGAGUCUUAUCUGGGCCUGGAUGUUCCCACAGGACCAUUAUCAGUCAUGCGUCCAGAGCUUUGCUGCCCAAGGGGACUUUUUGAGGCCUGAAUAUUAUUUACUUCAAUUCUCCUUUCAUAAGGCACCUGAGGCCCAGAUGGGGAAAGUCACACAGGACUGUGAUGGGGCCUGACCGAGGUCUCCUGAAUCCUCCCAGAACUGCUUGCUGUGCUCUGUGGCCUUUCCUCUGGCUAUAACUAACCCCACCUACACCUGAGGCUGCACACGCUCACACAGCGCUUCGCAUUGGCCAGGCACUUGCUCUGUGUUCCCAGCCUCGCUCUGAGGCAGGUACUACUAUGAUUCCCAUUUUACGCCUGGGAAGGCUGAGGCUCAGAGAGGUUAAAAACUUCCCUAAGCUAGUAUGUGGCCAAGCUAGAAUGUGAAACCAGAAUGUCUGGCCUCAGAAUCUAGACUCCUAACCACUGGGCUGUGCUACCUCUCUCCUCUGGAAGCUUCACCUGCAUCUGCACACAUUUACCUUCACUUUCCUCUUCUCCUGUCCUUAGCUUUCACCACCACUCUCACUAUUUCUUAUUUCUCAUUUCAGGCUAAGCCAGAUAAUCCCCCCAGACACAUGGGCAGGCUCACAAUCCCUGUCCUUUAUCUUCUCCAUCACCAUCUUAGCUUUAUCAUGCUCACUAUCACCACCAACUUCACCAUUUAUAAAGUCCCUAAUUGCAAAUGACCGUGUACCUACAGACCAACGCAGAUCUAACCCCUGCCUUGGGAUGGGAAGUUAGGGCUUACAGUCAAGCCAAAUAACAGUUUAAGCCACAUAUACUCCCUCCUUUUGUAAAUAAAGGUACAAAAUCAGAAUGUGGAAGGCAGUCUCCUUCUUAGAGAUUUUUCUGAAAUAAGAUGGAGGUGGUGAAGGAGAAGUUUCAAACAGCCAAAGAGCGCCUGCUGAGGGAAAUUAAUCAAUGGCCAAGAAGAUUGCUUGUCGUCUUUCAAUAUUUAUAAGAAAUAAUGAGCCUCCAGAGAGGGGGCUAGAGCUCCAAGGGAACAGAAGACCAGUGGAUGCUCUGUCCAAUUCAUGCCUCUAAGGAACUACAGGAGAAAGAUGGAGCCAUAGGCAGCUUUCACCCACUUUGGGUGGUGGCCAACACCCCAUCUCCCCAGCCACAGUAUCUCUUGCAGCCCCUGGAAGCCAGCAGCAAGCAGCACUGCCCAGAAGUUUUAAAAGUGAUUUUUUCUUUGAGCCCAAAUCCCACCCACCUCCCAACCCAAUGAGAUUGCUGGUUGGCUCUCCAUUAGUGCUGGCUGCCAGAGGUGCCAUCAUCCGUCACAGGAUCUAGAGGAAGGAGGGCAGUGGCUUCCCGGACCAGAGUCUCCACCCAGAAUUCCAGCCAAGGCCCCAGAGCUCCCAGGACCUGGAGAAUUUUUUCCCCCUGGUUGUGUUUGGAAUUGGCUGGUUUUCUGGGCACCAGGCCCAGCUCAGUUUAAUUUUUGUUUAUUUUUAUGUACAGAUUCUCUUCUGUUUGGGGACGAGCUUUGUGUAAAUUAUUAUUAUUUAUAUGAUAAAGAAUAAAUCACACCAA